ensembl:lncRNA TPTE2-AS1 TPTE2 antisense RNA 1
GCUCCACCUCCUCGCGACCGGCCUGCAGGUCCACUCUAAUAUUCCCGCUGUCGCAGACGCCGCCACCUCCCGGGGCGCCGCGCCCCGCCCCCCAACCUAAGCACACCUUUGGGAAGUUGCCUAAAGUUGCUACGCCUCCCCGCAAGCCCCGACGCCCGCGGGAGACCGCUACCAGGUUAUCAGGAAGUUAUCUCAACUUCCAUCAGGCCUCAGCUGAAAGCUCAUCUGCCAAAACGCAUCAGCACUCAUGUAAAAUAAAAGGAGUAGGGAGGUGACUUUGUACACAUACUGUCCAGUGUUUGGCUGCCAGUUUCCCUCUUGUGUGUAACUAUUCUAGGCCCUGUCUGACCUGCAGCCGGCUGUUGAGGCGGCCCUAGUCGGCCUCCUUCUGGUGAUCUGUUUCUUGUGCGUGUCCACCAACAGCAAGAGGUCCGAAUUGCCCUUUUCCAGCCGCUCGCGGGCCACUUCGGUGCGCCGGACCUGGCCCUGCAGCUCGGCCACCUCCUCCUGAAGCAGGACGUGGCAAGAAGAGAUGCUCCAGCAGUUGAAGCAGGUUCCCAAGUUAUUUAUAAACAAAGGCUUUUAUGCUCCAGAACUCUCUUCACUGCCUUGCCUUCUUCUCCCUCAACUGCACGUCUGGCAAAUAGGAUGGUGGAUUAAAGCAAGUCACAGCAGAGGGCAAAUGUCUUGGUCCAGCACAGCCUUGCCUUGGGGCCUUCAGCUUAGGCACGGAAUCUUCUUUGGCCUGGAAUAGCCGUCCCAAAGACUGUCCCAUGAUUGGUUCCUUCACACCAUCUGCUUUAGCUCAGCAGGGCUUUCUCAGGAGUACAUCGCAUCUAGCCAAGCCGACCUUCCCGCUCUGUCAUGUCGGGCCGUUUCCUUGCCUUCUUGCACACAGCACUAUCUGAAAUAAUCUCCUUCCAGUCAUUCAGCACAUUCAUUGAGUGCCUGCUCGUAUGCC